UAAACAUUCAACUUAUUAGUCAAGAAUCUGCCGUUACGGAUGCCCAAUUACAACCAAAUUUGGAAACUACGACAAAAUUUGUUGACGAACCAGUAAAAGGUUUGAUGACCAACUGCCAUUAUCGAGCAGCAUAACCAAUUUACUUGUCAAAUGUUUGAACUUACGAGAUACAUGGUUAACAAAACCACCAGUUCUAACUAUUAUCCCCCCCCCUCCUUGUCCAAAGAUCAACAGCGGCUGGAAAGCUCUGAUCCGGUCUCUAAACUUGCUAAAAUUGGGGACAAGACCAAAAAGGCUCUUACGGCAAUUAACAAACCUAAAACAGAAACAAAUUAAACAGCUUGCAGCACAAUUGUCUGUUGAACAGCAGCUCUACUCUAAAGAAAUUACUGAGGCUUGUGUUUGCUCCGAUCAAGCCAGAAGAGCUGUAAGAGAUUGAGCUUUAUAUAUUUGUUGGUUCCUUCUGAAUACCCUUUUCUGUGUUGAUUCUUUUUAGGAAGCAUUCCAAAGUUUGGCUUCAGAUCCUGGAUUGCAUUAAAUGCUACCUGGCCUGUGCACCUUUAUCGCUGAAGGCGUUCGAGUUAAUGUUGUUCAAAACAAGUUGGCACCUGUUAAAGCACUGCUUUCCAAUCAAACGCUUUACCUUUAAAAAGAACUUCACGAAUGAGUUCCUGCUGUCACGUCUUGCAUGGACAGCAAAAACUUUGUCUUCGGCAAGAAGUGGAUAAUCAUUGGGCUUUGAGAGAUUCUCUUC